rnacentral:miRNA from 1 species
GUGUGUGUGUGUGUGUGUGUGUGUGUGUGUGUGUGUGUGUGUGUGCUAUAAGCUGAUGUUUGUGUACUGAUUGAAUGUGUAUCUGUGUGUUUACAGUCUGGAUCAUGUAGGAGACAUGAGGAUUACCGCAGGACCACGCAAAUGUAGGACUACACACACACACACACACACACAUACGCUCCCUCUCUCUCUCACAUACACACAACACACGCUCUCUCACACACACACACGCUCUCUCUCACAUUCACACACACACGCGCUCUCACACACACACGCGCGCUCUCUCUCUCUCACACACACACACACACACACACACACACACAC